rnacentral:rRNA from 1 species
AUCCCAGGGCUCAACCCUGGCUCGCUUUGGAUACUGGUAAACUAGAGUUGGAUAGAGGUAAGCGGAAUUCCAUGUGAAGCGGUGAAAUGCGUAGAUAUAUGGAAGAACACCAAAGGCGAAGGCAGCUUACUGGGUUUAUACUGACGCUGAGGAACGAAAGCGUGGGGAGCAAACAGGAUUAGAUACCCUGGUAGUCCACGCCGUAAACGAUGAUCAUUAGUCGGCAGAGAACUGUUGACGCAGCU